rfam:Oryza barthii chromosome 3, whole genome shotgun sequence.
AAAAAGGCAAACCGUGGGUUUCCGUGCUAACGUUUGACUGUCCGUCUUAUAUAAAAAUUUUUUAUAAUUAGUAUUUUUAUUGUUGUUAGAUGAUAAAACAUAAUUAAUACUUUAUGCGUGACUUAUCUUUUUAAUUUUUUUUAUAAUUUUUUAAAUAAGACAGACGGUCAAACGUUGACAUGGAAACUCAUGGUUUGAUUUUUU